rnacentral:rRNA from 1 species
UAAGACAUGCAAGUCGAGCGAGAAAGNCCCUUCGGGGUGAGUACAGCGGCGGACGGGUGAGUAACGCGUAGGAAUCUACCCAGUAGUGGGGGACAACUAGUGGAAACGCUAGCUAAUACCGCAUACGCCCUAAGGGGGAAAGCGGGGGAUCUUCGGACCUCGUGCUAUUGGAUGAGCCUGCGUAAGAUUAGCUUGUUGGUGAGGUAAUGGCUCACCAAGGCGACGAUCUUUAGCUGGUCUGAGAGGAUGAUCAGCCACACCGGGACUGAGACACGGCCCGGACUCCUACGGGAGGCAGCAGUCGGGAAUAUUGCGCAAUGGGCGAAAGCCUGACGCAGCCAUGCCGCGUGUGUGAAGAAGGCCCUAGGGUUGUAAAGCACUUUCAAUUGGGAGGAAAAGCUAAUGGUUAAUAACCAUUAGCCCUGACGUUACCUUUAGAAGAAGCACCGGCUAACUCCGUGCCAGCAGCCGCGGUAAUACGGAGGGUGCAAGCGUUAAUCGGAAUUACUGGGCGUAAAGCGCGCGUAGGCGGUUUUUUAAGUCGGAUGUGAAAGCCCCGGGCUCAACCUGGGAACUGCAUCCGAUACUGGAUGACUAGAAUGCGGGAGAGGGAGGUAGAAUUCCAUGUGUAGCAGUGAAAUGCGUAGAUAUAUGGAGGAAUACCAGUGGCGAAGGCGGCCUCCUGGCUCGACAUUGACGCUGAGGUGCGAAAGCGUGGGGAGCAAACGGGAUUAGAUACCCCGGUAGUCCACGCCGUAAACGAUGUCUACUAGCUGUAGGGGUACUUGAGACCUUUGUAGCGCAGCUAACGCAAUAANUANACCGC